CCUACGGGAGGCUGCAGUGGGGAAUAUUGGACAAUGGGCGAAAGCCUGAUCCAGCAAUGCCGCGUGAGUGAUGAAGGCCUUAGGGUUGUAAAGCUCUUUUACCGGGGAUGAUAAUGACGGUACCCGGAGAAUAAGCCCCGGCUAACUCCGUGCCAGCAGCCGCGGUAAUACGGAGGGGGCUAGCGUUGUUCGGAAUUACUGGGCGUAAAGCGCACGUAGGCGGCUACUCAAGUCAGAGGUGAAAGCCCGGGGCUCAACCCCGGAACUGCCUUUGAAACUAGGUAGCUGGAAUCUUGGAGAGGUCAGUGGAAUUCCGAGUGUAGAGGUGAAAUUCGUAGAUAUUCGGAAGAACACCAGUGGCGAAGGCGACUGACUGGACAAGUAUUGACGCUGAGGUGCGAAAGCGUGGGGAGCAAACAGGAUUAGAUACCCUUGUAGUC
rnacentral:rRNA from 1 species